UUACGGCCAUAUCACGUUGAAACAUCGAUCCUGCGCAAUCACCAAAGAUAAGCAACGUCAGGCCUGGUCAGUACUUAGAUGGAUGACCACUUGGGAAUAUCAGAUGCCGUAA